rnacentral:rRNA from 1 species
UAGGGAAUCUUCGGCAAUGGACGGAAGUCUGACCGAGCAACGCCGCGUGAGUGAAGAAGGUUUUCGGAUCGUAAAGCUCUGUUGUAAGAGAAGAACGAGUGUGAGAGUGGAAAGUUCACACUGUGACGGUAUCUUACCAGAAAGGGACGGCUAACUACGUGCCAGCAGCCGCGGUAAUACGUAGGUCCCGAGCGUUGUCCGGAUUUAUUGGGCGUAAAGCGAGCGCAGGCGGUUAGAUAAGUCUGAAGUUAAAGGCUGUGGCUUAACCAUAGCAGGCUUUGGAAACUGUUUAACUUGAGUGCAAGAGGGGAGAGUGGAAUUCCAUGUGUAGCGGUGAAAUGCGUAGAUAUAUGGAGGAACACCGGUGGCGAAAGCGGCUCUCUGGCUUGUAACUGACGCUGAGGCUCGAAAGCGUGGGGAGCAAACAGGAUUAGAUACCCUGGUAGUCCACGCUGUAAACGAUGAGUGCUAGGUGUUAGACCCUUUCCGGGGUUUAGUGCCGUAGCUAACGCAUUAAGCACUCCGCCUGGGGAGUACGACCGCAAGGUUG